GUGCUGGGAUGAAAAUAACUUUGUGCCGGAGACAUUUUGUCUUUGACGGUUACACAACCCUCUAAGAAGUUCUGAGCAC
rfam:Ipomoea nil DNA, scaffold: scaffold1407, cultivar: Tokyo-kokei standard.